rnacentral:snoRNA from 1 species
AAGCCGCUUGAUGAUUUUUUUGGAUAAUAUUCUCACGACGGUCGUCUGAGGUACAUUUAUGUGCCUAACUGAUGUAAUAUCCAAAUUCUCUGAUGGUU